GGAAUCUUAGACAAUGGGGGAAACCCUGAUCUAGCCAUGCCGCGUGAGUGAUGAAGGCCUUAGGGUUGUAAAGCUCUUUCAGCUGGGAAGAUAAUGACGGUACCAGCAGAAGAAGCCCCGGCUAACUCCGUGCCAGCAGCCGCGGUAAUACGGAGGGGGCUAGCGUUGUUCGGAAUUACUGGGCGUAAAGCGCACGUAGGCGGACCAGAAAGUUGGAGGUGAAAUCCCAGGGCUCAACCUUGGAACUGCCUUCAAAACUAUUGGUCUGGAGUUCGAGAGAGGUGAGUGGAAUUCCGAGUGUAGAGGUGAAAUUCGUAGAUAUUCGGAGGAACACCAGUGGCGAAGGCGGCUCACUGGCUCGAUACUGACGCUGAGGUGCGAAAGCGUGGGGAGCAAACAGGAUUAGAUACCCUAG
rnacentral:rRNA from 1 species